rnacentral:rRNA from 1 species
UACGAAGGGGACUAGCGUUGUUCGGAUUUACUGGGCGUAAAGCGCGCGUAGGCGGAUCGCUAAGUCAGGGGUGAAAUCCCAGGGCUCAACCCUGGAACUGCCUUUGAUACUGACGAUCUGGAGAUCGGGAGAGGUUGGUGGAAUUCCGAGUGUAGAGGUGAAAUUCGUAGAUAUUCGCAGGAACACCAGUGGCGAAGGCGGCUCACUGGUCCGAUACUGACGCUGAGACGCGAAAAGCGUGGGGGAGCAA